rnacentral:rRNA from 1 species
UACGUAGGGGGCAAGCGUUGCCCGGAUUUAUUGGGCGUAAAGGGCGCGUAGGCGGUUGAUCAAGUCUGGGGUGAAAUCUUUCGGCUUAACCGGAAAAUAGCCUUGGAUACUGGCAGUCUCGAGGGAGGUAGGGGCAUGUGGAACUUCCGGUGGAGCGGUGAAAUGCGUUGAUAUCGGAAGGAACGCCGGUGGCGAAAGCGACGUGCUGGACCUCUACUGACGCUGAGGCGCGAAAGCCAGGGGAGCAAACGGG